GAUGAGGUGGUCGAGUGGUAAAGACAAUGGACUGCUAAUCCAUUGUGCUCUGCACAUGUGGGUUUGAAUCCCAUGCUUGUUG
rnacentral:tRNA from 1 species